rnacentral:rRNA from 1 species
UAAGGAAUAUUGGUCAAUGGGCGCAAGCCUGAACCAGCCAUGCCGCGUGAAGGAUGAAGGCCCUCUGGGUCGUAAACUUCUUUUAUCGGGGAAGAAAUGUCUCGUUUCUACGGGAUUUGACGGUACCUGAGGAAUAAGCACCGGCUAACUCCGUGCCAGCAGCCGCGGUAAUACGGAGGGUGCAAGCGUUAUCCGGAUUUACUGGGUUUAAAGGGUGCGUAGGCGGGUCUUUAAGUCAGUGGUGAAAUCCUCCGACCCAAUCGGAGAACUGCCAUUGAUACUAUUGGUCUUGAAUACAGUUGAGGUGGGCGGAAUGUGUCGUGUAGCGGUGAAAUGCUUAGAUAUGACACAGAACACCAAUUGCGAAGGCAGCUCGCUAAACUGAUAUUGACGCUGAGGCACGAAAGCGUGGGGAUCAAACAG